UGUCCCUGACUGGGGUAGAAUGGCUUUGGGUUAGUGGUGCCCAUCUAUCAGCCAGGGACAAAGCAAACCCUUGUUUAUCCCAGCUUGGCUUUUGGUCUGUGCCCCUGCCUGGGUCAUGCCUGGGACACACGG
rnacentral:snoRNA from 14 species